UUCGGCGGGGAUGCCGGAGGGAGCGGGGCGGGCCGGGGCAGCGAGUCCGGGGGGAGGAGGUGUCGCCGCCCGCUCCCCUUCCCUCGCCCUCCGGAGCGGGCAGCCCGGGGCCGCCCCGCGGCUUUAAAGGCUCCUCCUCCGGCGCGGAGGGGACCCGGCCCCGCCGGUCCGCCCCGAGGGCUGCGCCGGGAGCGCGGCGGGGAGCGCACGGCGGGGUGCGGGGCCGACGCCCCCAGCCCGGCCGAGAUGAGCCCCGUCCCCGCGGGGAACGGCAGCGCCUGGGGGGGCUCCGGCAACUGCAGCGGGGUCGGCAGCCUGGGCCGGCAGUGGGUGCUGGGGACCGCCAUCAGCCUCACUGUCCUGGUCACCGUGGCUGGCAACUUGCUGGUGAUCGUGGCCAUCGCCAAGACGCCGCGGCUGCAGACAAUGACCAACGUCUUCAUCACCUCACUGGCGUGCGCCGACCUCAUCAUGGGCUUGCUGGUGGUGCCGCCUGGGGCCACCAUCCUGCUGAGCGGCCACUGGCCCUACGGCACCACGGUGUGCGAGCUGUGGACCUCGCUGGACGUGCUGUGCGUCACGGCCAGCAUCGAGACGCUGUGCGCCAUUGCCGUGGAUCGCUACCUGGCCAUCACGUCCCCGCUGCAGUACGAGGCGCUGGUGACCAAGGGCCGGGCGCGGGCCGUGGUGUGCCUGGUGUGGGCCAUCUCCGCCUUCAUCUCCUUCCUGCCCAUCAUGAACCACUGGUGGCGGGACGGGGCGGACGAGCGGGCGGCGCGCUGCUACGACGACCCGCGCUGCUGCGACUUUGUCACCAACGUGACCUACGCCAUCAUCUCCUCCACCAUCUCCUUCUACGUGCCCCUGCUCGUCAUGAUCUUCGUCUACAUGCGGGUCUUUGCCGUGGCCACGCGCCACGUGCAGCUCAUUGGCAAGGACAAGGUGAGGUUCCUGCAGGAGCCCCCCAGCCCCACGUCCCGGAGCAGCCGGCGCAGGCGUUCGUCCCGGCUGCUGGCCAUGAAGGAGCACAAAGCUCUCAAAACCCUGGGCAUCAUCAUGGGCGUCUUCACGCUCUGCUGGCUGCCCUUCUUCGUGGCCAACAUCAUCAAGGUCUUCUGCCGGUCGCUGGUGCCGGACCAGCUCUUUCUCUUCCUCAACUGGCUGGGCUACAUCAACUCAGCCUUCAACCCCAUCAUCUAUUGCCGCAGCCCUGACUUCAGGAGUGCCUUCCGCAAGCUGCUGUGCUGCCCGCGCCGCGCCGACCGCCGGCUCCACGCCGUCUCACAGGACCUGCAGCGCUGCCCCUGUGCCUUCAGCCCGCGGGGGGGCCCUGCAGGGGACGGCAAGGCGGCCCCCGGGCGCCCCGGGGAGGACGGCGAGGCUCGGGGCAGUGGCAGCCGAACAGAGGAGGCUCCUCUGCCCCAGGGCAGUGGCCACCGGCAGCGGCCCCCGGGCGAGCCCCGGCUGCAGGACGCGCAGGCAGCGCUGUGCUCACGGCGGGAUGAGUAGGUUUGCUGGCGGAGAGACGCCCGCGGGUCCGUCGGACUGACUGCGAGCAGCCGAGAGCUGGGAGGAGAGUUUCCCCCGGCCGGGUCAUCAUCCCUCCGGCCUCUCCUCUGCCCGCGUUGGCCGCCGCCCUCCCCGGGGACCACAGCCCGCGGCCAGCCCGGGGCUGCUGCCCGGGCCCGGGCACGGCCGGGGUUGGAGAAGCGGCACCAGGGGUGACGGUGGUGGCAGGAGCCUGCAGUGCAUGCACCGACCCGAGGAGGAGGAGGAUCUCCCUUGGGAGCUCCGGUGGUUUGGGGACAGCACCAGCUCCUUCGUGCCGUUGGUGCUGGAGACCUGGAGCUGGGGAAAAGCUCUGGAGCUGCUCGCCAAGGGGCAGCACAGCCUCAGGGAUGAGUGGGCAGGGGACAAACUCCCAUCUGGGGUGCUCCUGGCAUGACUGGCAGCGGGAUGUGGAGACUGCCAGCUCUGCUUUCCUGAAGGACAAAGGACCCUGUCUCCCCAGGCUUGGCCAGUUUGGGAUAGUCUGUUGAGAAGGAGAGAAGAGCCUCCUGCAGGCUCCAGCCCCUCCCAGGAUUUCCAUCCCUGCUGCAUUCCGGGGCUGAGUGCAACUCCAGGAGCUGCAGUGAUGCCUUCAGCAAAGGAAAAGCUCAGGGGAAUGAGGAGAGCUCCAAGCACGGAGGACUUCCAAAACCAGGGAAUUAGGAUCUUGUCAGAUCUCUUGGCACUUUCUCCGUCCCGUUUGGGACAGAUGUUCGUGUCCGUGCCACUCGGGGGCGGGAGGUGGGUCCUCACCUCACGUGUGCAGGCGUGCCCUGCCCACACUGCUCUGCCACGCAGCGCCUUCGGCACAACUUGGUGUAAAUAUGUUCAGUGACUGCACAAUUUUUGUCCUGGUUUGUGUUGCCCCUGCCGUGUGAAAUAAACCUCUGGAUCUCUGCGGUGCCUCCAGAUCUGUCCCGAGCAGAGGGUGCUGCUCCCUCUGCUGUUCCCGGGUGGCUGCCUGAGGUUCGAGGGGGGGUUCACCCCCCUCCCGGGGCUGUGCCUAGCAGGGAAAAGCCGGGCUCUGGGCAUGCC